GACGAUAAAAAACAUAGAGGAACAAUCCUCCAUCGAUUGUGGCUCUCCACCCAAGGUAGUGGCACACCACCCAAGGCAGUGCAUGACGCCCAAAGGGGCAGCAGCACACUGCCUGAGGCGGCAGUAUGCCUUACUAAGCUGGUCGUGCACUACAGGCCUAGCCUGCAGGUGUUGGUCUACCCUCCCGCGUGCAAGGUGCUGCACGUAGGCCUAUCCGCAUAGGCCUACUGCGGGGACAGUGCACGUACAGGGUACAACGCCUAGCUCUGUCUGUGCGCGACAUGACGCGCGCAAACUGGCCUGUCUGCGCGCGACGUGAUACGCACGAAGACCAGCCUCAUG
rnacentral:lncRNA from 1 species